GCCCGCUCAGAAACUUAAAUAGAAUUGACGGGGGCCCGCACAAGCGGUGGAGCAUGUGGUUUAAUUCGAAGCAACGCGCAGAACCUUACCAGCCCUUGACAUACCGGUCGCGGACACAGAGAUGUGUCUUUCAGUUCGGCUGGACCGGAUACAGGUGCUGCAUGGCUGUCGUCAGCUCGUGUCGUGAGGUGUCGGGUUAAGUCCCAUAACGAGCGCAACCCCUACCUUUAGUUGCCAUCAGGUUAAGCUGGGGACUCUAAAGGAACUGCCUACGCAAGUAGUGAGGAAGGCGGGGAUGACGUCAAAUCAGCACGGCCCUUACGUCCAGGGCUACACACGUGCUACAAUGGCCGAUACAGAGGGCAGCUACCUGGUGACAGGAUGCAAAUCUCCAAAGUCGGUCUCAGUUCGGAUCGGAGUCUGCAACCCGACUCCGUGAAGUUGGAUUCGCUAGUAAUCGCGCAUCAGCCAUGGCGCGGUGAAUACGUUCCCGGGCCUU
rnacentral:rRNA from 1 species